rnacentral:rRNA from 1 species
AACGCUGGCGGCGUGCUUAACACAUGCAAGUCGAACGCGAAAGGGACUUCGGUCCUGAGUAAAGUGGCGCACGGGUGAGUAACGCGUAGAUAACCUGUCUUCAUGGUCUGGAAUAAUACGCCGAAAGGGGUACUAAUACCGGAUAUUCUUGCUUUUCAUAAGUUAUGCAAGCAAAGGUGGCCUCUGCAUAUGCUACUGCAUGAAGAGGGGUCUGCGUACCAUUAGCUAGUAGGUGGGGUAAUGGCCUACCUAGGCGACGAUGGUUAGCGGGUCUGAGAGGAUGAUCCGCCACACUGGCACUGGAACACGGGCCAGACUCCUACGGGAGGCAGCAGUGAGGAAUAUUGCGCAAUGGGGGAAACCCUGACGCAGCGACGCCGCGUGAGUGAGGAAGGCCUUCGGGUCGUAAAGCUCUGUCAAGAGGAAAGAAGUGUACAAUGGCUAAUACCUGUUGUAUUUGACGGUACCUCUAAAGGAAGCACCGGCUAACUCCGUGCCAGCCGCCGC